GACGAACGCUGGCGGCGUGCUUAACACAUGCAAGUCGAACGGAAAGGCCCUGCUUUUGUGGGGUGCUCGAGUGGCGAACGGGUGAGUAACACGUGAGUAACCUGCCCUUGACUUUGGGAUAACUUCAGGAAACUGGGGCUAAUACCGGCUAGGAGCUCCUGCUGCAUGGUGGGGGUUGGAAAGUUUCGGCGGUUGGGGAUGGACUCGCGGCUUAUCAGCUUGUUGGGGGGGUAGUGGCUUACCAAGGCUUUGACCGGUAGCCGGCCUGAGAGGGUGACCGGCCACAUUGGGACUGAGAUACGGCACAGACUCCUACGGGAGGCAGCGGUGGGGAGUAUAGCACAGUGGGCGGAGGCCUGGUCCGGCAACGCCGCGUGCGGGAUGACGGCCUUCGGGUUGUAAACCGCUUUCGCCUGUGACGAAGCGUGAGUGACGGUAAUGGGUAAAGAAGCACCGGCUAACUACGUG
rnacentral:rRNA from 1 species